GAAUCUUGAAUACCAGCUCAGUCAGAGCAGAAAAGAGCACUGAUCAGGGUCAUGAGGCCCCCUUUUCAGGCCCUAGAUCUUGGACGACACUUAUAGGCACACACCCAGCCAAAAGGGAACACUCUGACUUGACAGGAAGCACCCAGUCCUGGCAGGAUUGAUAACCUGCUAACUGAAGGGCCCUUGGACCCUCAAUAACCAGCAGUGAUACCUAGGUACUACAUUGAGGCGCUUGGGUGAGACUUGCUGGCUUCAGGUGAGACUCAGCAUAUUCCCAAAUAUGGUGGCUAUGGGGCAAGAUUCCUUCUGCGGAAAAGUAAAGGGGACUUUGUCUUGCACCUUAGGUACCAGGUCAGCCACAGAAAAGUAGAGUGGGCUCCUGGGGCCCCCAAUUCCAGGCCUUGGCUUUGGUUCCUGAAACUCGCCUGGACCACAGGAGAUCCCACUGCACUGAAAGAUAUAUAGAUAAGCCAUAUUGAAAUAGUCCGUCAUUGUCUGUCUGAGAUAACGCCUCUUUGUCCUACCUCCAAGACGAUUAAGGAGCGCGGACACAAAAGUGAGCUUAGAGCGAAAGCUUAAUAAGUGAAAGAAGAAAGCUCUCUGUCAGUAGAGAGGAGAGUCCUGAACAGGAAUACUCACUGUGGGGCCCAUUCUGGGGAUUUUAUGGACCGGAAAAGAGAAGAAAUGUGCUUAGUCUGUGGGCUGUCUUGGCGAACCCGUGACUCAGCCUGGCCCGGGACUUUGGCAGGGGACCAAUCAGAAGCCGAAAUGAUGAUUCACAGAUGCUGCUUAGCUUGCCCCAGGGCCUAUCACAAGCUGACGUGAAAGUUUGGCCCGGGACCUUGGCCUGGAACCAAUCCGGAGCUGAGGUGAUGAUUCAUAGAAGCUGGACUUACAGUUUCUUUCGGUUUUUGUUUCUGUUUUUGUUUUGUUUUGAAACGGUGUCUCACUCUGCUGCCCAGGCUGGAGUGCAGUGGCGCAAUCUUGGCUCACUGCAACCUCUGCCUACUGGGUUCAAGUGAUUCUCCUGCCUCAGCCUCCUGAGCAGCUGGGACUACAGGCACGCGCCACCACACCCAGCUAAUUUUUGUAUAUUUUUUAGUAGAGACGGAGUUUCACCAUAUUGGCCAGGCUGGUCUCGAACUCCUGACCUCGUGAUCUGCCCAGCUCAGCCUCCCACAGGGCUGGGAUUACAGGCGUGAGCCACCGCGCCCAGCCUGGACUUAUAGUUCUAAUAAAGGAAAGUAGAGUGCCCACCUAAACCCACCAGAGCCCACCGUGCCCAUGCCCACAAAAGGAGAAGAAACUUUUCCUGGGAACCUGCUGACUAUACAAAGGACCUUUGUCCUGGCAUUUGGAUGCCAGGCCUUGUUCCCUUAUCUGAGUGAGCUGGAGGUUCUGUGUAAGUUUUAUCCAAACGGGCAGGAGGUUGUUCUAUCUGUGCAGCCAUGGGCAUGUCUUCAGGCACAACACCCUGUCCUAGUUCCCUUAUCGGUGCCUGCAGCUUGAAUUAUUUUCCCAGGCUGCUUUUUAUGUUAUGUGGGGAUGAGGCACUGACCCAUGGGCUGGGGGGCUCUUCUGGGACCCUUCCCUUGCUGUCUACCUAAAGCAAGCUAGUUUACUCCUUUCAAUAUGUUGGUUCUACAUUCACUGGCCCAUUAUAUUUAUUAUUGAUUUUCUUGUUAUUUUUAUCUCCUUGUUCUUUUCCUCUGCAUUCUAGGAGAGCUUUGGGUUGCAUCAAAAAUUUCUGAUUUUAUUUCUGCAUUCUCAAAACUGAUCAUACUGCUGCUGAUUUAUUUUUUACAUGCCAGUAUCAUUUUUUUGUUCAAAGUUGACUUUUUGACAUACAAAACAGCAAUUUAAUAUGGUUUAAACUGAAAAAUAAAAAAGAAUAGUUACUGCAGUAUCUAUGGUGAUUGUGACAAGCUAGAAAUCCAAUAAAUGCCCAUUAAUAUGGAAAUGAUUGAAUAAACUGUGAUACGUUCAUAUCAUGAGCUAUUAUGCUACCACUAAGAGAACAACUGUGGAAUUUACGCAAAUUCCACUAGGUACUGAUUAAAAGAUAUAGAAAAAAUGUAUU
rnacentral:lncRNA from 1 species